UUUAUGGAGAGUUUGAUUCUGGCUCAGAGUGAACGCUGGCGGCGUGGCUAAGACAUGCAAGUCGAGCGGGAUUUAUAGAUGUAGCAAUACAUUUGUGAUGAGAGCGGCAAACGGGUGAGUAAUACAUAAGCAAUCUGCCUUAAAGUUUGGGAUAGCUCGGGGAAACUCGAAUUAAUACCGGAUGUGGUCUUAAACUGCAUGGUUUAAGCACUAAAGCUUGCAAUGGCGCU
rnacentral:rRNA from 1 species